rnacentral:rRNA from 1 species
AGAUUGAACGCUGGCGGCAGGCCUAACACAUGCAAGUCGAGCGGUAGAGAGGUGCUUGCACCUCUUGAGAGCGGCGGACGGGUGAGUAAAGCCUAGGAAUCUGCCUGGUAGUGGGGGAUAACGCUCGGAAACGGACGCUAAUACCGCAUACGUCCUACGGGAGAAAGCAGGGGACCUUCGGGCCUUGCGCUAUCAGAUGAGCCUAGGUCGGAUUAGCUAGUUGGUGAGGUAAUGGCUCACCAAGGCGACGAUCCGUAACUGGUCUGAGAGGAUGAUCAGUCACACUGGAACUGAGACACGGUCCAGACUCCUACGGGAGGCAGCAGUGGGGAAUAUUGGACAAUGGGCGAAAGCCUGAUCCAGCCAUGCGCGUGUAUGAAGAAGGUCUUCGGAUUGUAAAAGCAACUUUAAGUUGGAGGUAAAGGCAAUUAACCUAAUACGUUAGUGUUUUGACGUUUACCGACAAGAAUAAGCAACCGGCUAAACUCCUAGUGCCAGCAACG